GAGGAAGGAACCCAAGAGAAGCCCAACUGCCCUACUGCUGACCCUGGGCUGGAAAGACAACCAUAAAAACCGUCAUUCUGAUUGAUGAAGAGGUGAUAAGGUGCAGAGUGAUGAACCAAGUCCAUUUCAAGCUCUAAGGAGAGACCUGUCUGGGGGACUAGAAGCCACUCUGUGGGGCCCCCUCGAUGCCUCAUUUCCAGGAACUGGCAGAAACAAGGUCCAAGCUUCAGAUACUUGAUAAUUCUGCUGACGUCUCAAGAGAGCCUGUGGCCUGCAGUGACUGUGGCUCCUGAACCACUGGCCAAGUGUGUCAUGGCUGUGGGCACCUUUCAAAGGCCACUUCCAGAGAACCGUAUUUUGCUGGACUUGAGCAGACUCGCUAGGCCAUAUGCUGCUUUGAGAGAGCCAGCAGCUAAUGCCCAGAGAAGAAGAGUCCUAAUUAAGGCCACACAGUUAACCGGACGCCAAACUGGAGCUCAAAUGGGCAUGUGACUCAGAAGACGGGAGGCCAGGCCAUGAGUCAAUGGCCCCACUGUCUCCGAGCACCUACAUGGCCUUGGGUGGACCCCUCAGCACCCAGAGAUCAGCCUCAGCCCUGCUUUGCUUCUGCAACCACAAGGUGGUAUGGCCAGCAGCCAUGGGAGAGUUCUUCUUUUUCCAAAGUAUGUUUGCUGUAUAAACACAAUCGUAAAAUAAAAGCCAAGUGUCGGCGAUGGCGGGGUGGGAGCGAGAGAGUUGGGAGAGGCAGCGUUCCUGGCCACGGCCAGCCGCUCCCAGCCCAGCCCCGGCGGUCAGUGGGGAGGAGGAGAGGCCCUGCAGCCCAUCAUGCUGUCAGGCUGCACAGGCCAUACUUUCCUCAAACCUCACUUGGCUGGAACAAUCUAGAGAGGGUCAGCGGAGGAGGAGGCAGCCAGGGAGUCAGGCUAAACUUCUCCCUCCCUCAGGCUCCAGGGCCUUGCUGGAUUCAGAAAAAUAACCCAACUUCCACUGACUUGUCAUUUGAUCCAUAAAAUUCACUGCUUGGGUACUUAAGAUAUUCCCCAGGGGCUGCAUCUGUGUGAUUCAGAUUCAAAAGCGGAAUUACGGACCAUGGAGACGGCUCCACCGUCAAGCAGCCCAAAGGAUGAACCGGGUCUCAGCGACCCUCUGGCUACAUGUGCCUCCGUGGCUAAAAUCAAGUGGAAGAUUGGAGUGAUGAUCUGGGGGCAACGUAAGCCUCUGUCCCGGCAAAGCGCCCCAACUGAGGGCAAAAGCCUGCAUCAAUCAAGGAGGCUAGAGGCAGAAGGGCUUGAGUUGUCACAGCAGCUGUCUGAACCCCCCCAGCGUCCCUACGGCUGCAGAAUUCCACCUCCUACACCUGCUGCCCCCUUGACCUGCCUGCUCCUCCUCCUCCUCACCGCCUCCCUUCCCCACGAAUUUAAAACUUUAACAAUAAUUCCAAAUCGCCCCCGGUUGCCGGCACCCCACGGUCCAGCCCUGGCCCGGAUAACUUCGUUCUUCAAGGAGGGUGAGGAGCCGGGGGAAGGUGCUCGGGGUCCGGAGAAGGCGGGCUGGUUUCGGAAUCGCAUUCAGAUGUGCCGCGCUGUGCUCGGAAGGGAAACUCAUGGCUCGCAGCUGCAGCGCAGCGAGUGCGGGGGAUGAAGCCACGAGGGCCCCCGCAUAUUUUCCUUGGCCUGCACACAAGUCGUUGACAUCAUUUCAGACUUUGCCAUUCAUCCACUGCCGCUUGGAGCUUGUGUGGCUUGUGUGCGGCUGUGUUCCAGAGUCUGAUUGCAAAUUGGGUGGUGGUGGGGAUGGAGGUGGUCCCAUUGAGUUUGUAAAAACAAACAGAAAUGCACUGAACCUUGUGUUUCCUCCCCUGGAAUGAUGAGGGAAGCUAGCCGCCACCCCGCCCCGCCCCCGUGCAAACAGACCCAGGCCAAGGCCAGCGGAGACCCAGAGAAGCCUUUGUUCUGUCUGCACUAUUUUGGGGAAUGAUGACGAAUGUUUGCCGCAGGUACGAAAAGCGGGGGUUCCAGUAGCAAAUUCUAUCACAUCCUUCCAGACGUCACUCAGGCCGCUCUGGGCCCAUCUGCAUUCUCCUGCAAAUCCUGGGUAGCAGGAAAAUUCUGUUAAUGGUUCCCAGAGGCCCCAGAAAAGAAAAUGGCAAAAGUAGGAAAUGUGAAUAUUCGGAAACAGGGCAUGUGCAUAGGUGCAUGCGGUGCAGGAUUAAUCAUCAUGUUUAGGAGACAGCUCUGCGAUGCCGGGGACAUCGCAAAGGACUUCCUCUUUGAAGGAAGCUGCCCAUCUCCUUGUGUUCUCUCAUUUCCAGUAGCACAGAGUGCAGUCGGGACAGUAGGAAAGAAUUGGGGGAAGCUUUGAGGCAGGAUUAGAGAGUGCCUCUGACCCCCCCCACCCCAAAUGUCACUUCCCAUGCUGAGAGUGUGAGACUUUGUGUCUCCCACCAUGGGCAAAGCUCUGGACUUUGUCGCUGAGAACACCACCCAGACUCUAGCUACCAUGGAAGUGAAUUUGAACCCUGACACAGGCCACUCUUUGUUCUAUAGCAGCCAGGGCCUGCUCCUCCGCAAGGACUUGGGAAUAGGAUUGCUUCUUUCUCAAACAUCAUUUGACACAAGUUGUCUGAGGACAGCGCUGUGCCCCAAGGAUGCCCACCUAACUCGGAGCUGGGGAGGACCGGUGAUGUUCCUGGAUAUGUAUAACAGUCAGUCGUCUCUGGGGAAAUAGCCCUGAUCUGUAGCAUUUGCCAAUUUCUAUGGUGUAAAUACUCCCAUCGGCAUCAACUUCUAGCUACCAACCAUUGGGAGACGAGUCACUGGCCUCUUGCAUCUCUACACAGCUUGUGAGCAAAGGUACUUACACUUUUUUCCGCUCUCUUUUUAAGGUUGGUUUUUUUUUUUUCCUCUCUCUAUCUCUUCCUCCAAUGCUGGAAACAGGACUCCCUGUCCCUAGGAGAUAGAUAUUUGUGAUGAAAAGACUCAUGAUCUCGCUUGGUUCUCAUAGAGGAGCCACCCAGGAGAGCCAUCUAUCAAAAUCAUCCACAUUAGACUGUGUGUGAAUGAGAAUCACUUUUCUCAUGAUAGAACUCUGAUAUUCAAGGUGCCGUGUGUGGUACCUGGCAGUACUUAUUCUGAUUAAUAUGAGUAGCCACCACUCUUCUCCCUUUAUUGAUAAGGAAACUGAGGCUUAUCGGUGAAUGGACCACGUGUCAUCACUAGCAAGUUGCAGAGCCGGGAUUCAAACCUAGACCUGCCUGCCUCCAGCCCUUUGCACUCUGCUUUGCUGAUUCUUCAUGACAAAGGCCCAUGUAUGGCAAGGGUUCUGAGGUCCACAGAUUGGCCCAGGAUGGGAAACAGGUCUCCCUGCCAGAGGAGGCCAGUUAUCUUUGGUAAUCAGUCCUGCCUUCAGGGAAGUCUGGAAGUCUGACCAUCUGCAGCUUCUAGGAAGAUUGAUUCCUCGUGUCCAAGCCACUGCUGUUCAGGGCAGAGCAAGGAUCCCCUGAAGAACUCUUAACCUGAUGAGUAUUGUGCAUUCAAGACAGCUGGCGGACUAAAUGAGGGCCCCCCACAGCCACUGAGAGACCCCUGUCACCAUGGGACUGCAAACAUUGCAACAAUUCAGUAGGAACUCAUACCAUGAAAUUGCUAAACACUCGCAGUCUGCCAUCGGGUGGAAACUCCCAGGGAGUCCCAGCCAUGAUGACCAGGACCCUGGGAAGCAGCUGCCUGCCUUUAACUUACUAAGGGUCCCGAGCGACUUCCCUUAGGCACAUUUUAAGCACUUAUUGAGCACCUGCUGUGUACAUUACAACUACAGUUACUACUACUUUCAAGACUGUUUCAUAGACUAACAAGGGAUUUUGUCAUUCUGAUCUCUGGAUACGUUCGAAAGAAAAAUCUGACAACAGUACUAAAAUAAGGUCACAUGUGGUUUGACAUUUCAUGAAUCAUCUUUACCGAAAAGGAUAAAAGUAUGUAAAUUCAGUGCUGCCUUGGAAAAUACCCAAGACAGGAAAUGGUGCUGGGCAAUGGGCACGGCACAGAAGAGGCGAAGGGGGCCUCCUCUUUCUUACCGAGAGGUGUCCUAGAGCCGACACACAGCACACACUCCAAGAGGAUCUAUGAAAUGCUUAACAAACAAGAGUUUUCUAAGCUGAAGUGUAGAUCCAAAAGCUUUCCUGAGCCUUCCAGAAAUCUGUGAGGUUCACCUCCGUGCUACCCCAGGAUGACGUGGAGGCAUUUCUGCCACAGUCCUUCCCAGGAUACUUGUGAAACACGCAGGCUGCUCCGCAGUGGGUCUGAGCCACCGUUCACUGUCUGAGCCUGUGCCCUGUGGUCCCACCAUCACCAGUUCCAGGCUCUUGGUGCUUCUGACGCAAACUGAAGACCACAGCCCGAGGUGUGAGUGGAUAAGCAUGAAAUGACUAGCUGCAAGCCGGAGUGCCUGUCUGCUGAGCUCUGGAAAAUGCAAACUUCACAGACCAUUUCUUUCUCUGGGUCCUGCCCAGCUCCUCCCAAGCCUUGGCACGCAAAAGUCCAAGAGUAGUAAUAGUAACUAAUAAUAGAAAUCAUUUCCAAUCAUAACACGUGGCCUGAUCUUACUAUAGAGUCAUAGAGAUUAAAAUACUCUCUGUAUGAAAGAAACUGUUUGUUUCACUAUUCGACCUUUGGCAAACACAGCUCCUAGGUCCCCAGCUGUCUCCCUGGGCUGGCCUUUGCAUCGGUGCAUAGGGAAAUGCCAGUCUGUGCAUAACUUACAGGGGCCCUUGCCUCUAACACAACUUGUCCUCUUACUCUCUCCCACCACUUCCAUCCCCAAAACUCUCACCUGGACUUGUUUGUCCCCUGAUUGAAAGCCGUGGGUGGCUCCCAUCAUUUAGGUAAUAAUAUCCACACUGCUGUGGCAUUAGAUGCCCCAAACUCUAUACCAAUCCUACAUGCUAUCCCUACUCCCCUCCAUCAGGAAUCCCAUGCCCUAAUCACAAUUAUCCAUUUAUUUUCCCUGAACACGUUCUUGUUUGUUCAAUUAAUACUAAAGUAAAAUGCAGUGAAGUACACAGAUGCUCAGGGUACCAUCUGAUGAGUUUUGAUAAAUGUACACAAUCAUAUUACCAAGCCCUCAAUGUGUCUGUAACUCAGAAAUUUCCCUCACGUCCCCUUAUGGUCAAUUCUCCCCACUGUAGGCAACCACUUUCCUGAUUUCUGUCUCCAUAGAUUAGUUUGCCUGCCUUGAACUUUAUAUAAAGGAAUCACAUAGUAUGUACUCUUCUGAGUUUGGCUUCCUCUGUAUUACAUAAUGUUUUGAUAUUAAGACAUGCUAUCAUGCAUAUUCGUAAUUUAUCCUUUAUUUGUUCAUUAUUCCAUAGUGUGAAUUUGCCACAAUGUUUUUAUUCCAUCACCUGUUGGCAGAUACUUGGACUGUUGGCAGUUUUUGCCAUUACAAAUAAAGCUACUAUGAACACUCCAGCACAAGUUUAAUUGUGAACAUUUGUUUUCAUUUCUCUUAGGUAACUACCCAAGCAUGGAAUUGCUGGAACAUAAGGAUGGGUGCAUUGUUCAGUGUGUUAGGAGCCGUUAAGCUGUUUUCCAGGAUGGUUGUACCAUCUUACCCUCCCACUAACAAUGUACAAGAUUGAACACACUCUUUAUGUUCUUGUCUCUGAGCUUUGCUUUCACUAUUUCCUACACCUGGAAAGUCCCAUGGCUACUGCCAGACUCUCCCCCUAUUUGUCACCUCUAUUAAGCCACCUAACGUCUGUAACAAAUAGUCCCAAGCUGUAUAAUACCUUAACUCAAUGGUGUUUCCUUCUCAUUCACAUGAACUCCAAGGUAGGUCUACGUCAGCAGAACUGCCAUCCCCAAAGAAGUUCAUCCCCAAGUUCAUGCUUACAACAUGACCCUGUGCAUCAAUGUUUGGCCAAUGGAUGGAGAAGGAGAGGAUGGAGAAAGAACACCUUUUUCUUUACUGAUUUGGCCCGGAGAUAGUCAUCAUCCUUUGGCUCAUGUUUCACUGUUGAGAACUAGCCCCAGGCCUCACCUACCUGCAUGGAAGGCUGUGAAAUGGACACUCCAGCUGGACAGCUGCUUACCAACCACAAGUCUGCACCACAGGAGGGGGGACACAAGUCUCUGGUGUACAGUUAGCCGUCUCCACCGCAUUGGGGUGUGACCCUCCCUCUGAUCUGUCUCCAUUGAAACUGUCCCAUAAUCCCACAAUCUGUGGAAUUAACCCCUCCUUCUUCCAUAUUCCCUUGCCUUUACAGUCCCUCUAAGCACAGCCCUUAAGAUCUGCCUUUCAUUUGUUAUGUCCAUGUUUUGCCCACUAGAUGGCGACAUCCUGGAGGGCGCUGGCCAUCUUGGAUCCCUGUGUUGGACACACAUCGAUGUCUCCCUAAGUAUUUGCUGAAUUCACAGUGGUAGAGACAUAUGGCACCCACCAACUCCUCCUCUUGGACACACGUCUUGUCUACAGUCCCCAAUCCCCCAGCACCUACCUGUGGCCAUGUGGCAUGUCUGGCCAGUGCAACACAAGCCACAGCCACCUGGCCACCUCCAGGUUGAUGCAACAGGAGUGGGAAUGCUUUACUAGAUUCUAGAUCUCUCUUCCUUUGCCUGUCAGUGGGAUGUAGAGACUCCAGUAGAGGACCCAAGACCUGACAGGCAUGGAUACUGGAUACUGCAUGGAGCCGAGCUCCUCUGCUGACCUCACUGCUGAGAUGGGGUAUUGUUGGUUAAUCAGCCAGCCUACCCUGACCAUCACACUCACAUUGUGUGAACUACAGCCGCCAAACUCAGGGAGACCAACCAGUUUCCUUGUCCUUCCAUUUCCUUUUAUAAUUUCUCAUGACAGGCCAACAAUCUGACACUAGACCCCAUGCUGGCAGGGGAUGCCAGUGUCUAUGUAAAGAGAGCUCUUAAGGUUUAAGGUGAGCUGUGGUUUUAUAGUUCAACCUGCUAAUAACUCCAAUGAGUCUUAACUGUUAUGCAUUUCUUCUGUACCGCAUUUGACCAUAAGCUCUUAAAAGUAAGAUAUGGCAGGGUCUGUGUGGCUCAGUGGUUGAGCAUCUACCUUUGGCUCAGGUUGUGGUCCCGGGGUCCUGGGAUCGAGUCCAGCAUAAGGAGCAGCUUCUCCCUCUGUGUAUGUCUCUGCCUCUCU